GUCGGUUGACUGACACAUUCAUUCCGUUUUCUUCUGAUGUGAAACACUUUGAUUAUUUGACGUGCAGACUGGGCUCGGUGCCUCGAUAAGACCGUGGUGUCGCUGAAUUGUGGGAUACAACAACAUUCUCGGCAGUGACCUGCUAGGUUAUUGCCAGGACAGCGCCUAUCCUGUGGUCUUCUGCUUCGUCCUUCGUCGAAUUGUGAGCGCUGCAUAAAAAGGGAUCAUGUACUGGCGCACCAUCCACUUGACGCCAGGGUACGACCACAAGAGUUGCCUAGUGGUAGCUGCCGACGGGUAAGCCGAUCAAUAUGGACACGCAUCAUGAAACAGUGAGCUCAAGUUCUGUGGCCAGGCGUAUGUGAUCGAUGGAGCCAGUGCUAUCUCCACACGGAGCCUCCACAACACCUCCUUCUCCUGGCUGCCGCCACGUGGGCGACGCUUUCCUCGUGCGCACCUCGUCGACUUGUCUUACCAGACGCCAUCAAGUUACGAAGACAAGCUACAUACAUCGUGUGAACUGCCAAGCCACGGUCGCGGCCGGUGGCGAUGCCUUCGCUCAUUGCUGACGUCAGCGUUGAUGCCGAGGCCACAUCGGUAGAAAAACAGCGGAACGACACGGAAUCUCCGGGAUUUGCGGCCACAGGCUACAAGCGCUAAGUUGCUGUUCUGUAGUGUGGUUGUACUUGAGUGGCCGUUGAUCCCCUUUGGCUGCUUGAAGAGUUUUGUUAAUGCGAAUGAAACCUGCGCCAUGGCCAUUGAUCUCAGCAUGUAUCAUGCUCGUAUUGGCACAUUCUCCCCAUGCUCAAAACGCCGAAGUUUAGCUACCAGCCCUGUAAAUGGUAUCAGUGUACUUUUGCCGAGGCCUUCUCUUGCGCUUGCUUCCUUGUGCUUUGCCUUGCUCCUCCUUUGUGCUGGUGAUGUCAAGGCCAACCCUAGGCCUAAGACUGAGGACGUUCUUAUCCUCCUCAGAGAGUUCAUGGAUGACAAUCAGGGAAAAUUUGAGAAAACGACGACUACCCUAACAGAAAAAGAAAGAUAUCAGAUAUUUAAGAUCGCAACUUAGUAGCAUCGAGCAGGACAUUGGUGGCAUCCGCGAAAUUAGGGAUGAUGCUGGUUCUGUCCAUGACACAAUAAAUGAAGGCAAUCCAUAUCAAAUACAAACGAGGAGUUGGGCGACGUUGUAGAUGAUCUUAAUAACAAAUCGACACGUAACAACUUGUGGAUAAAGGGACUACCAGAGAAAGAAAAAGAGGACUACGCAAUCACUGAAAGGAAAAUAAGAUAUUUUAUUUCAGCUCACUUAGGUUUGCACUUACAGGAUAACGACAUUAAACGAGCUCACCGCAUUGGUAUACGUCGAACCGCACAAAAUCGCCCCAUUAUCAUAAAGUUCUUAAACUUCAAGUUGAAGAAAGAAGUACUGCGCAAUGCCAGCAAACUAAAGAAUGUCGAGCCCAAGGUAUUGCUAGACGACGAGUUUAAGGAAAACGAACGUUCAAGGAAAACGGAAACGAACGCAUUCUACGUCUAACGAAUGCAAGGAAAACGAACGUUUCACACUCAAGUUUAACAAACUUCAGCUACAUGGUAAGACGUUCAAAAUACAACGCAGUCUUUGGUAGGGUAAUCGAGACAGCCGUACAGGAGGCGCGUCUUCUUAAAUAACAAAGGUCAUUGCGCAAGUCAAAGCCACACGGAAAUCGUCCUCUUUCUGUGCUGCUCACAAAUUUCCGCAGUAUUCUCGCUAAACUAGACGCAGUGAUAAGUAUGAUACGCACAUGUACUGCGGAGAUUAUCCGCACCGAAACAUGACUAACCGCUUAUAUUCCGAACGGUGAACUAUUCCUCCCGAGUAACUUGAAAGUUUUUCGCAAUGAUAGGAGCGAUUGCAGGGGAAGAGGUCUAAUGAUCGCUAUGCGGGCCUAUUAUCAGCCGUCACCUAUGCAUUGACGCGCCGCUUAAACUACUGUAUGUUAUGUUUAGACAUAAAGGCAUCACGUUCGUCCUAGGUGCGUGUUGCCGCCCCCCCAGCAGCCAGUCGGACUUCAUUGAUCAUUUGCAUGACUCAUUAGAGCACGUGUUCAGCGUGCAUCCACAGUGCAUUCUAAUAUGAAGCGGCGAUUUUAAUUACCCGGUAUAAAUUGGACAACGUCCUUUAUGAACUAUUC